rnacentral:rRNA from 1 species
UACAGAGGGGGCAAGCGUUAUUCGGAAUUAUUGGGCGUAAAGGGCGCGUAGGCGGCUAUCCAAGUGGCGGGUGAAAUCCCUCGGCUUAACCGAGGAACUGCCUGCCAGACUGGAUGGCUCGAGACCGGGAGAGGUGAGUGGAAUUCCCAGUGUAGCGGUGAAAUGCGUAGAUAUUCGCAAGAACACCAGUGGCGAAGGCGGAUCUCUGGGCCUGUCCUGACGCUGAGGCGCGAAAGCUAGGGGAGCGAACAGG